UAGUGAGUUUGAUCCUGGCUCAGGAUGAACGCUGGCGGUAUGCUUAACACAUGCAAGUCGAACGGGUGUUUUCGGACAUUAGUGGCGGACGGGUGAGUAACGCGUGAGAAUCUAGCUUCAGGUUGGGGACAACAGUGGGAAACGACUGCUAAUACCCGAUAAGCCGAAAGGUGAAAGAUUAAUUGCCAGAAGAAGAGCUCGCGUCUGAUUAGCUAGUUGGAGAUGUAAAGGCUCACCAAGGCAUCGAUCAGUAGCUGGUCUGAGAGGACGAUCAGCCACACUGGGACUGAGACACGGCCAGACUCCUACGGGAGGCAGCAGUGGGGAAUUUCCGCAAUGGGGCGAAAGCCUGACGGAGCAAGACCGCGUGAGGGAGGAAGGCUCUUGGGGUUGUAAACCUCUUUUAGUCAGGGAAGAAGAAAGUGACGGUACCUGAAGAAUCAGCAUCGGCUAACUCCGUGCCAGCAGCCGCGGUAAUCUGAUGGCG
rnacentral:rRNA from 1 species